rnacentral:sRNA from 15 species
UAUCCCCCAAACCAAGGGGGGAUGAGAACCACCGACCGGGGUUCGACAACUGGCGCAGCCAGUUGGACAGACGACGAGCUUGCGAGGAGACUGCCCGAAGGGCGAGCGCAGCGAGUCAAUCCCCCCCCUCACCGCCA